UAUGGCUGAGGCACUGCGCUCCAAACAAACCAUGGAAACAAACACUCGUGAUGUUUGAACAUCUCUGUAUAUAUAACUCCAAUUAAGUUGAAACAUUGCACCAAAGAUAUUCUAGAAGCUCUGAUUACACGAAGCAUUUUAACGAAAAUGGUUGCAGGAAUCACAAUGCAUGUUUCUGUGGCGCCACCGUGUGGUUUGAUGAGGGCCCACGCAUAUUACCAACCUGGGAUUGGUGGUUUUCUUGAGUGUGGGAUACAUUUGCUGUACUGGAGAAGAACUUCUGAAAAAAGCCACGCCAUACUCUCAGACCGGUAGGAUUUUACUCAUCACCCCACACAAAAGCUUCAUGUAGAAUGUGGGGAUAAAACUUGUUAAUAAAGUUAUUCUUAUUUUGUAAACAUUCAAUCGCUUAUAUAGGCUAUAUCGCUCAGUAAAUUCAAAACGGAAUGAUAGUUAGAUGAAUAGAUAUAAAUCGAAUAAUGUAAUAACCAGUUAGAAAUCCUCAGAUGAAUAAAAAUAGCUCUUGCAUAUCCUUGAUUGCGGUUUAGAUGUUGAACCUGAUUUUGAAUAGAAAGACUUUAGAAUAGUUCGGAGACGUAUGUAUUAUAUAUAACCCCACAUUAUGUUGUUGACUAAACAUGAGGCGCUAACGUCAUGUUAUGGGUUCCCUAAGGGACACCUUGUUCAUCCUUGGUAUUUAAUGCCUUGUGUCUAUAUCAACAUAAGCAUUAAGGGGCCCCUAUUUUACCUAAAGGUGUAGGUGUGACCGUGACAAGCCAUUUCGAAAUCUUCCCCGCCCUGUGAUACACUGAAAUCCCAAGUGGGAGGUCCCAGCUAGGUGUAUGUUGGAAAGAUAUGCCUACCAGUUGUUACAGUCCACUGGGUAGUAGGGCUGGGCGAUAUGGCCUAAAAAAAAAUCAUUUCCGAUUUAAAUCGAUUUACAUAAGAAGGCAUUAUGGCAGGCCCUGCCAUUGUAAACAGUGUAACCUGUAACAUAUCAUAAAAUGUAAAAUAUAUAAAAUAUAAAAUAAAAUAUUUCUGUAAACAUAAAAUAUUAUUAAUGAUAAGAGGUAGUUCUGAAAAAAGUGCCAACAUAACAUUCAAACUUUCAACGUGUGUUCAUAAAUAUACAGUGAUUUGCAAACGGUAAUUAGCUUUAAAAAAUGGAAUAGUAACAGGAGAAGAAUGAGAAAAAAACACACGCACGCAAAUAAACUUGACUUGACUUUCCUUCACUCAUCUGUAUUGAAUGAGGAAGAGGAGCGAGACCCCCCUACUGGAGCCCCGAGGCAUUACCAACAGAUCGACGAAUUGCCAACAGAUCGACGAAUUAUUAAACCACAGAUAUAUUUCAAAUUAAUUAUGUUUACCUCAAAAUAGAUUAUACAUAAAUGAAUAAAUUGUUGUAUAGAACUUGUCACACUCGCUGCCAUGUUUGUGUAUCACUUUGGGGGGAGGGCUGAGCCCAUUCCGAACUACGGGAGCUGAGAGGGAAGCGUUGGCGGAUGUUGAAGAGAAAACCGAUUUUCAUUUAAACAAGUCGACGUGAGCUACACACUCGAGUUAAUCAAUAAAAUCGGUUUAUCGCCCAGCCCUACUGGGUAGGAUGGUAGACUGAUCUAUCAGUCGUACAUCUGGUUGGUUACU